UAUUACAGCUCAGUCCUGCUUCACUUACACUGUCCAGACACCUACAUACAAUCACAAACUGAGGAUCAAGUACACACUAAAGGCUGAUACAGUGCGGAUAGAGAGGGGUCUUCCUUCACGAGUGGUCUUUGUGAAUUCUGAGGCUGCCCAGGGAUCCCAGGAGCUGUCUGUCCAAGUCAAACAAGAGUGUAUCCAGACCAAGCUCAGGCUGCUGGGAGAUAUCCAGGACAAGCUGAUGAGCAUUUCCAUCAGCCUGUCUGUUUCUUUGCUGUCUAAUAAUCCGAAACAGACA